GGCGGAUGCUCUGAUGAUGGCUAUGAACCCAGAAUACAGAGGUUUUCCAUGACACAUAGUUUACGUGCUUUCACUGAGCAAUGCUGCUAAUCUGUCCUGAUCGUUUGCACAGAAAAUACAUCAGCACCAGACCUGAAGAACAAGAGAAGAUCCUUCUUAAGGUACCCAGAAAUCUCAUCCAGAAGUCUAAGUAAAGCCUGGCAAUGCACCUGUAAGUGGCCAGCCAUUUCACUUCUGGAAAUUUCCAUGGCAGCAUUUGAUGAGGAUGAUGAUGAUGAUGAUGAUGAUUUCUAAUGUUCCCAACUUUAGUAUAAGAACAAUCAUGGCUGUCUCUUAAUAUCAAUUGAAUAAAUGAAGUGUAAUGGAAAGUUUACUUGAAACAGCACACAAUCACAUGGCACAAAGUAGGCCCUCGAAUGGGUAGUUUCUUUAUUGAGAGUGACUAGGCUGUUGCCAUAUUUAUUUUAAAGGAACUCGCUUCAGGGAUGACAGAAGCAAUUUUGGCACAGAAAUCUGGAAGCAUUUGGUUAGGCUGUGCAAAGUUGCAACAGAGUCUCCCUCUCAACCUGCUAAUGAAAGCAAGCCUGUAAACUUCAGAAUGUCGGGUUUUCUGAACACAUCAGGGAGUCGAGGGUACAAAAGAACCUAAAGAGACUGAACUCCAGAAAGAGGCCUUUGUAGGAUAAAAACGACCUCUGGUCACCUUGAUCCCUGGCAGACUGGAGGAGGAGCAAAGGAAGAGAAA